GACGAACGCUGGCGGCGUGCCUAAUACAUGCAAGUAGAACGCAGAGUGGAACGGGUGAGUAACGCGUAGGUAACUGCCUCAUAGCGGGGGAUACCUAACGGAAACGAUAGCUAAUACCCCAUACUGUGAGAUGGACCUGAGUAGCAUUAGCGAGUUGGUGGGGUUAAGGCUCACCAAGGCGACGUUACAUAGCCGACCUGAGAGGGUGAUCGGCCACACUGGGAAUGAGAAACGGCCCAGACUCCUACGGGAGGCAGCAGUAGGGAAAUUUCGCACAUGGGCGGAAGUCUGGACGAGCAACUCCGCGGGAGUGAAGAAGGUUUUCGGGUCGUAAAGCUCUGUUGUUAGAGAAGCGGUAACUAACCAGAAAGGGACGGCUAACUACGUGCCAGCAGCCGCGGUAAUAC
rnacentral:rRNA from 1 species